GAAUUUGAGGUUGGGAGUUUGGAAUUUCAGGUCCUCGGGAAGAGCGAUGGAUUUCUAUGUGAUCUUUAGUCUUUCUUCAUGAACUGGAAGUGGGUAUUUAGAAUUCUUCAAGAAAUAUGAUAGUCCCAAAUAAAUUCUUGAAGAAUUCUUUCAUUUAAGACUUGAGUUCUAUGUAAAGAGAAAGAAAAUAAUGUUGGAUAAUCUUGAAAUAAAGCUGUUGAGAUUGUCUAACAAAGUCAGAUUCAUCAUUGGGGUGGUAGAAGGAGAGAUUAUUGUGAGUAACAAGAAGAGAGUGGAUCUGGUCCUCGAGUUGCAGCAGAAGGGUUUCACACCGUUCCCUAAAACCAAAGGCGUUGAUUCC